GAUGAACGCUGGCGGCGUGCCUAAUACAUGCAAGUCGAGCGAACAGACGAGGAUCUUGCUCCUUUGACGUUAGCGGCGGACGGGUGAGUAACACGUGGGUAACCUACCUAUAAGACUGGGAUAACUUCGGGAAACCGGAUCUAAUACCGGAUAAUAUGUCGAACCGCAUGGUUCGAUAGUGAAAGAUGGCUCUGCUAUCACUUAUAGAUGGACCCGCGCCGGAUUAGCUAGUUGGUAAGGUAACGGCUUACCAAGGCAACGAUACGUAGCCGACCUGAGAGGGUGAUCAGCCACACUGGAACUGAGACACGGUCCAGACUCCUACGGGAGGCAGCAGUAGGGAAUCUUCCGCAAUGGGCGAAAGCCUGACGGAGCAACGCCGCGUGAGUGAUGAAGGUCUUCGGAUCGUAAAGCUCUGUUAUUAGGGAAGAACAAAAGUGUAAGUAACUGUGCACGUCUUGACGGUACCUAAUCAGAAAGCCACGGCUAACUACGUG
rnacentral:rRNA from 1 species